GAGUUUGAUCUUGGCUCAGAUUGAACGCUGGCGGCAUGCUUUACACAUGCAAGUCGAACGGUAACAGGGAGCUUGCUCCGCUGACGAGUGGCGAACGGGUGAGUAAUAUAUCGGAACGUACCCAAGAGUGGGGGAUAACGUAGCGAAAGUUACGCUAAUACCGCAUACGAUCCAAGGAUGAAAGCAGGGGACCUUCGGGCCUUGUGCUCCUGGAGCGGCCGAUAUCUGAUUAGCUAGUUGGCGAGGUAAAGGCUCACCAAGGCGACGAUCAGUAGCUGGUCUGAGAGGACGACCAGCCACACUGGAACUGAGACACGGUCCAGACUCCUACGGGAGGCAGCAGUGGGGAAUUUUGGACAAUGGGGCAACCCUGAUCCAGCAAUGCCGCGUGAGUGAAGAAGG
rnacentral:rRNA from 1 species